rnacentral:rRNA from 1 species
CCUACGGGUGGCAGCAGUAGGGAAUCUUUCACAAUGGGCGAAAGCCUGAUGGAGCAACGCCGCGUGCAGGAUGAAGGCCUUCGGGUUGUUAACUUCUUUUAUAAGCGAGAAAUAUGAUGGUAACUUAUGAAUAAGGAUCGGCUACCUACGUGCCAGCAGCCGCGGUCAUACGUAGGAUCCGAGCAUUAUCCGGAGUGACUGGGUGUAAAGAGUUGCGUAGGUGGCAUAAUAAGUAGCUAGUGAAAUCUGGUGGCUCAACCAAUCAGACUGUUGGCUAAACUGUUAAGCUCGAGUCCGUUAGGGGUAAGUGGAAUUUCUAGUGUAGGAGUGAAAUCCGUAGAUAUUAGAAGGAACACCAAUAGCGAAGGCAGGUUGCUGGGACGGGUCUGACACUGAGGCACGAAAGCGUAGGGAGCAAACGGGAUUAGAUACCCGAGUAGUC